AUGAAUCUUAUUAGUUGGAACUGCCGGGGAGGGGGGAAUACCCGGACAAUUCGAGAGAUAGCGACCAUAUCGCAGUCGCAUUCCCCCAUGUUUGUAUUUGUGUGCGAGACAAGGCAAACAUCAAGUAAAAUGAAGAGAACCGGGAGUAGAAUUGGUUUGAAGGGGUUCGAAGGAGUAGAUAGUAUUGGGAUGAGUGGUGGACUAGCCCUGUUUUGGCAUGAA
rnacentral:rRNA from 1 species